CAGCAGCCACGGGAAUACGGAGGGUGCAAGCGUUAAUCGGAAUUACUGGGCGUAAAGCGCACGCAGGCGGUCUGACAAGUCAGAUGUGAAAUCCCCGGGCUUAACCUGGGAACUGCAUUUGAAACUGUCAGGCUGGAGUCUUGUAGAGGGGGGUAGAAUUCCAGGUGUAGCGGUGAAAUGCGUAGAGAUCUGGAGGAAUACCGGUGGCGAAGGCGGCCCCCUGGACAAAGACUGACGCUCAGGUGCGAAAGCGUGGGGAGCAAACAGGAUUAGAUACCCGGGUAGUCCCUGUCUCUUAUAA
rnacentral:rRNA from 1 species